rnacentral:rRNA from 1 species
GAUGAACGCUGGCGUCGUGCCUAAUACAUGCAAGUCGAGCGAACAGACGAGGAGCUUGCUCCUCUGACGUUAGCGGCGGACGGGUGAGUAACACGUGGAUAACCUACCUAUAAGACUGGGAUAACUUCGGGAAACCGGAGCUAAUACCGGAUAAUAUAUUUAACCGCAUUGUUCAAUAGUGAAAGACGGUUUUGCUGUCACUUAUAGAUGGAUCCGCGCCGCAUUAGCUAGUUGUUAAGGUAACGGCUUACCAAGGCAACGAUGCGUAGCCGACCUGAGAGAGUGAUCGGCCACACUGGAGCUGAGACACGGUCCAGAAUCCUACGGGAGGCAGCAGUAGGGAAUCUUCCGCAAUGGGCGAAAGCUUGACGGAGCAACGCCGCGUGAGUGAUGAAGGUCUUCGGAUCGUAAAACUCUGUUAUUAGGGAAGAACAAAUGUGUAAGUAACUAUGCAAGUCUUGACGGUACCUAAUCAGAAAGCCACGGCUAACUACGUG